rnacentral:rRNA from 1 species
AACGUAGGUUCCGAGCGUUAUCCGGAUUUACUGGGCGUAAAGCGCGUUCAGGCGGUUUGGCAAGUCGGGCAUGAAAUCUCUCGGCUCAACCGGGAGAGGUUGUCCGAUACUUCCAGACUUGAGGGCAGUAGAGGGUGGUGGAAUUCCGGGUGUAGUGGUGAAAUGCGUAGAUAUCCGGAGGAACACCAGUGGCGAAAGCGGCCACCUGGACUGCACCUGACGACCUGGACAACGCGAAAGCUAGGGGAGCGAACGGG